CUUUUUCUUCUUCUUCCUCACGCCUCCCUACCCAAAAUCCCCUCCCCCGUUUUUUUCCUCUCCACGCGAAACUCUCCAGCCGGCACCACGCGCGUCCGACCAAGCCGCCACCAGUCGCUGGUCGUUCAUUCAUGGGUCGCCAUUCGCGCAAGUCGGUUUGAUCGUCAGCAAGCAGCGAUCGUCCAGCGCCGCUCGCCCCUCCGCACGCCGAUCUCGCCCAGCUGGUCAGAGUCGCGUCCGUGCCGCCGCCGCCUCCAGCAAGCAGCCGAUCUUCUCCACCGUCCAUCGCCACGCUGCCUAUCACCUGUUGUGUGGGUCUUCGUCGAACUCGUAGAUUUGGAUUUGAGCUUGGAAAAUUACAGAAGUGGUUGUCCAAUGGAUUCAAGAUUGUUCGGCAAAGUUUUGGUUGCAAGUCGUCCUCCAUUGGGUUUUAAAAUCUGUUAGGAGGAGAUUUUGGAGGCGAAAUCUUGGGAGUGGUUAUUGAUCAAGUUUCUUUGGGGCCGUUACUUCAAACCGCUGUCAUCAUUUGGUUGUCUGAUUUUAUCUGCGGAUUUUCGAUUAAGGUAAGGGUAGAGAUGCACCGACGAUGGACAAGCGAAAUUCGUGAUCGAGCCACUAAUACUAGUUUUUUACGCUUCCGCAUCAUGAGAUUUAAAGUUCUUUUCAUGUUUCUCUUAACUUUUAGUUUUGAUGUUUAAAACUUAUUUUUAAGAAUUUUUUUCCAGACUUAUUUAUUGUCCUUUAUGAGUUAUGAGUACCCUACUAUUGUUUUAGUAUUUGAAUUUAAUGAAAGUCUUUUGAACCUACCUUAUUUAAUUAGCAU